rnacentral:rRNA from 1 species
GAUGAACGCUGACAGCAUGCUUAACACAUGCAAGUCGAUGGGGAAGUGCUGCUUUCACCGUGGCAACCAUGGCGGACGGGUGAGUAACGCGUAAGGGACUUACCUGCAGGACUGGGAUAACAGGGGGAAACUCCUGACAAGAUCGGAUAAUGUCAUGGAGCUGCAUGGCUUUAUGAUGAAAGGAUGCGCCUGCUGAGAGCCUUGCGUCCUAUUAGCUAGUUGGUGGGGUAAUGGUUUACCAAGGCGGUGAUAGGUAGCCGGCCUGAGAGGGUGGAAGGCCACAGUGGGACUGAGAUACGGCCCAGACUCCUACGGGAGGCAGCAGUGGGGAAUAUUGCACAAUGGGCGGAAGCCUGAUGCAGCAACGCCGCGUGCGGGAUGACGGCCUUCGGGUUGUAAACCGCGUUCGCCUGUGACGAAGCGUGAGUGACGGUAAUGGGUAAAGAAGCACCGGCUAACUACGUG